UUUCCUUUCCUUUCCUUUCCUUUCCUUUCCUAUUUCCUUUCAUUUCCAGGAAAAAAAGACCCUUUGCCAUAGCAGUGUGAGGAAAACACCUAGAAAGCUGAAAAACCCAGAUUUGAGACUUAUUUCUUUUUACACAGCUAUUCCAUGUCUCCUUUAUAUAAGUAAAGGAAGAUGCCAGCAAAGUUUACUUUAAUUUCCUCUUGCUUGCUUGUUAUCUGUUUAUACAACAUUUAAAAUGGUUUUUUCCUCUUUUUUUCAUACAUUUUCCAUGUUUUUUAUUAUAUAUCUUUAAGAAUUCCACCUACACCAGUCAGAUAAAGGAUUCAGGCAGUGAAUUAAAUGCCUUCCAUCACUUAAUGGGAAAUCAGGACCAAUGCAGGAAGAGGGGGUCUUAACCUUUUCCAACCAUAGACAAGGGAUCAUAGCUGGUUCUCUAUGUGCCAAGGGCUACUUUCUCUCAUUCGUGUUCAUGGAAAGUAUUUUUUUAGAAUUUUAAUAAAUUUCCAUUCCAAUUAUUAUUAAUGCAUUGUCUAAUUUGGCCAUGUUUCCUGAUUUUUUUAAAGGAAAGGAUUGGAUAUGGGCUGAUGACAUCUUUCCUGUGUGUGAGCCUGAGAUACUUGGUUGGUUAAGUCCCUUUAGUCAAAGAGCUGACCAAAUUAGAAAAGAAAAAUCAAAUCAGUUGUUGGCCCUAAAUUUAUCAGUUUAAUAGCUCUGCACAAAGACAGCCUGAUGUUAAUAUCUACAUUAUGCAGACAGUGUUACUUGAACCACUCUGCUUGAUGCUAAUAGUGGCCAAAGCUUUUAUUCCCCCAUCAGCACCAAUAGAGGGAAAUUUUACUACAGCAUUUUGAAUACUCAGAAGAGGAAACAGAUCUUUAUUACUUCACCUGAUAACAACAAUGGAAUGUAGGACACUAAGGAGUUUUUAGAUGCAUUUCCCACAAAUUAUCUGCUUACUUAAAUGCAAAGUGUUUAACAUCUAUGAAGGUGAUGACUUGCCGUGUUUAAAGGGUUUAGUCAUUAAUUUUGAGAGUAUUGCAAAUAAUUUUUCAAGUAUUUGCAUUUAAACAAAAAUUCAAGUAAGCCCUUUCCCUACACAGUGAUCAAGGUAAAAGGCUAUAUUGGAUAUCAAGAGUUCUCUGAAUUUUCAAAGAGUUUUCAUUAUUAAUAGCUUAGAUUAAUUUUCAGAGACUUUUUACCUUUAACUUUGCAGGGAGGGGUUGAGUGAUGGAGUUCUCUGUCCUCUCUCUCUGUUUGCAUCGUGUUUGCCUCUUGCCCUCAGAUAGCAGUAAAGGGACUCUUCUCAUGAGUUAGCUCUUUUGACAUUUGCAUAGUGGAACUCAUUUCCUGCUCUUAGUCAUUCUAGAUUUCUCUCCUGAAUGAUUAUCUGGACUUUGCUUCCUGUGCUUGGCUGCUACUGAGACAUGUUCUAGUACAUUCACAUAUACUUUGCUCCCCUUAUUAUUUUAAUUUAGAAAUUAAUUUAGAAAUUUUAUACUCUUAAAAAUAAGGGAUAAAAAGGAUCACAGUCACCUCCUAUCACCACUGAGGCUGGCUAUUUAAAAGUUCCUGGAUGGAAUGAGAGGAGACAUGCAAAUGCCUCUUGGCCUAACCCUGUUUCCCUUCCCCUCUCCAGGCAGAUCAAGGCAUUGGCAACACAGUUCUUAGAAAUGUUCAACUCACUACAUGAAAAAUUUAGAAAACAGUUUGAAAUCAAGGGCUAGUAUGGCAGACUGGUAUCUAAUUAUAGCCUGUUUGGGCAAAGCAAGAAGCAAGCAUGUCCUUCAUUUAAGAAAAAGCUAUGGUAACAUUGUCAGGUGAUGUGCAAGUGUGGUCCCUCCACAGGGCAGUCACUGGUUCUGCUACCCCUUCCCACUCUGAAGAUUUUCUGAUGGCUGCCAGGGAUGCUUCCCAAAGCCUUUUCACUGUGAUAAUGGUUUAAAGGAGACUGUUGCAACAAUAACCACUUGUAUGGAAUAUUACCUCAUUGUAGAUCAUGUUUUUAAGGAGUGAUUUAGAAUGAUAGUUUUAUGAUUAGGGAAAUGAGUUCCUUCUCAAGCUGAAAAAGAAAGACUAAAAUAAUCACAAAGCCUCCAGAACCAAAAUUGAGCACAUUUUAUGUUGGAUUUUUACUUUAAUUCAAUGCAACUCAUAUUCACAGGGCAUAUACUGUAAAAUACUGAAGCUAAUACUUAAUAAAAAUCCAUUCAAUUUGGAGCUCACAGUUAGCUAUACUGUAAUUGGACUUAAUAUUCAUUAAAUAAAACCUUUAUUUUACCUACCCUUUUUUAAAAUUUGUUGCUUAUAUAAUUUGUGAGGCAGAACAGAAUGGGUGAGCUAGAACAAAUACCUCUAAAAAUAAGAAGUGUAGCUGUAACAAUGAUCAAGAGCUGUGGAGUACUCAUGGAGUGCAGUAACCACUAGGAGCUUUACAAACCACUAUUUAGGCCUCUUAAGGGGCAUAUAGGUUAGGUAAUAUUAUCUCCUUAACUAUGACAUCUUUAAUUGUUUGUUUCUAUCCCAUUCUAUCUCCCCUCCACCAAUUUCCUCUAGUCUUUAGAACAGGGAUAUAAAUUUUUUAGCAACUUACAAUAAUACUAUCAUAACUGCUAAUAAGAGCUAAUAACUGCUUAAUGUGACUACCAACUCAUUUUCCAUAGGAAAAAAGCUAGCCCAUGUCAUGAAGCUGGAAAUUGUUUUUGUGUCUGAGACGAUGGUGCUCACACCACUGACAGGGAAACCUGACCCUGUUGUACAGUUAAUAGACAGAUAAUCUGCCUUCCUUUAAUGCAUCCUCUCCUUCUGGGAAGUACUAUCAAAAGUAUGGACAGAAAUCUCUUCUGUUGUCAUGGUAACACUUCUUCCCUGACAGGAUGUAAGUCAUUGCAAGCAUGUUUCACUUGUUCUGAAUGUUCUCUGUUGUGUGUUUAGAUAAUAGCUAGUUAAGGAACUCCUUGAUACAAUUCUGGACUUCAGAGAUAAGCUCCUGGCUCUUUCUAAAGUAGUGCAUCCUACCUUCUGUCUAUGGCCAUUGAAUCCUAGCCUAUAUUUUUUUUAUUCAUUGAUUCAUUCACCUAGUAUACAUUGAAUAUUUAUUGUCUGUCACUGUGAAUUUGAGCAUUUUAUAUUACAUUAAAAUGACUAGCACAUACUGUGUGUUCACCUUGUGCUGGGAUGGUGCUCUAUACUUUUCUUCCCAUUGUGAUUGCCACUGCUCACAAGAAACAGGCAAGGUGAGUAUUGGCUCCAUUCUACUGGUGAAGAAAAUCAUGCUCACAAAGGUGAAAUAUCUUGUUCAAGUCACCCAUUUAAUAAAUAGUGGGCAGAACAUGAACCAGAAAUCUAACUCUAUAGCUCAUGCUUUAAUUAUGUCUUUUUUAGCCAUGUGAUUCAAUUUUUGUAUAAUUUAUUUUAAGUAAAAAACUGAGCAGAGUUCUGAACUGCAAGAGCCAAGCCAGAUAUUUACCAUGUUGAUACCAUUAAAAUGAUGACUAUUUUAGCUAAAAUUGAACUUGUUAAAAAAAUUACUUGAUGGCUUUAUAUGUGCAAGUCUAAAAGGGAGAUCUCAGAGUCUCUAGAAGGUUUAUUCUCACCUGGGCCAGUCCACACCAUGGAUCAUAUUCACCAAUUAGAGUUACAUACUAGCAGAUCUAUUAAUACAUACAGAUUUUAUAACCUUAUGGCUACUUUGUCAAUAAUAAAACCAAAAGCAAUUUCAGUAGUGAAUCCAGCAGGUUGCAACCUGAGUUUCCUUCCACUGUGAUUCUAUUAAGAUGCCACUCUCAGUAUUUAGGAAAAAUUUGUUUGAAAUUGCAUUGCAAUGACAGUUAAUGAGGUUAUUUUCCUAAUAUAUAGGUUAGCUACACUUGAUUAAAAAUAUCAGACCUCAUUUUAAUUAGAUGUAGUGGAAGAUUUCAACAGGUGGUCAUCCAAUUGAGUUGUAAAUUGGGGCAAUUUUGGAAAUUUUCAAUAAUUGGGUAGACUUUCUGCUCUAUGGGAGAAGAUAACAUUAACAAAAUAGAACUUGGAUUACUGGUUAUUGGAGACAUAUUAAACUUUCUCAGAUACAUUCCUGGGUCAUUUAAUAAACUAAGAAAUUAUAAAAAUAUCUGGUCAAAUUGCAAAGGGGCACAAUAGAUAUACAGUAAAUACUUCUUAACAUGUCAUGAAAUGGGCCUAGGUAGCCUAAAGGAAUUAAUGAGUCUUCUCAAAUACCUACAUUAUAACCACUUAUCCCCCCAUUACACAGUUAUUUCUAAAUAAGGGAGGAGAAACUUUAACAAAUAUAUAACAUUUUUGUUGCUCCCAGGGUAAAUUUAACUAAACAUGGGUGAUUUGGUUGAUAGUGGUAGUUUUAUAAAGAAUAUCAGGGGAAAUGGUUUUAAUGUCAUGGGCAAAGUAAAUUCCUUUCAUUUUUACUUGAUCCCAGGUAUCUACCAGUCUCAUUGCUAACUUCAGGUUUUGUCCAAGUUGUUUAUAUGAAAUGACUCAGUGUAAUAUGGGGAAUUGCAGGUUAUUUGGAAAUAUUGACAAAGAAAAUGCAAAUGAGAAACUCCAUUUUUAUAAUUAGUUUUCCUAAAAGUCAGGCGUGUCUUUGAGGACAAGCCUUUGGCUAUAUUAUUUUUGUGCACAGGAGGAAAAAUUGUUAGUAGGAUUAUAGAUAUUAUUUUUAUAAUAGAAUGUUAAAUUCCCCCCAAACAUCAAAAAUUGUCUCCUAGAACUAUUCUAUGUUUUUAAAACUUGUUUUUAAAAAGAUUCUAAAUAGCAAUAGGGUCUUUGCUCCUUUCUCCAGUCCAAUGAUUUAAUGGGAUAGAUGAACCAAUGUCUAUAUUUUUAAACCUGUAUUUUAUUUUCAGUAUUUUGUAUAUUUGUUGAUAGAAUUACAUUUUGUGCAUAUGUAUCAUUGUGCAUGUUUCUGGUUUUGAUAGUCACCCUUUUAAUGAAUGUAAGAAGCUUGGACUAAUAGCACUUUUCUUGUCUCAUUCAAACAUCUUAAAAUGAAAAUAUGACAGUGCCAUUUUACCCAUUGUGGUUAAUUCAGGCAAUAAAUUUUGUUGCUUCUUUACAUUUAAA